rnacentral:tRNA from 1 species
GCCUUCAUGGUGUAGUGGUUCUUCACGCUGGGCCUACAAUCCAGAGGUCCGUGGUUCGAUUCUAGGCGAAGGCG